AGUACUUAGGUGUGUUUUUGUUCAACUGGCAGACAAAUUCAGUCAAGACAGGUUCAAUACAAAUCCUUUCUUGACACCCAGAAUUCACUACUCACUCUGAGUUUUGAUGCAUACAAGAAGGAAUAUG
ensembl:snoRNA